rnacentral:lncRNA from 1 species
ACACUCGUUACACAUAGAGUGAAGGAUUGGUGUUAUUGUCUUCCUCCAGGAUCCGUUACCAGUUGGGAAUAUCAGAAGCAUAAGUUUCUAGACAAAUUCUUUCCUGAUAUGUACUUUACAACAUCAAUAUCAGGAACCAUCAUUCCAGACUCCUUGUAUGCCUCCACCGAUUCAGGAACCACAACAAUUGCAGUUUUCAUGAGCCUCAAGCUUAUGUUCCAAACAUCUACAAUAACAUACAACCACAACAGAAAAAUCAAAAGCAACAACAACAAUAGACACCUGUCAAAUUUUCUACUUCUUCUAAACCUACAUUGAAUGAGUUGUGGGGACAAAUGACCACGCAGUGCACCAAGGCAUAACAACCAAAUUUUAAUCAAUUUUCAAUAUUCAAAGAAUUAAUUAAAACACAUAAUUUGUUUACUAAACAUUCAAUAAUAAUUUUAAAUAAUUCUAUUAGAAUCUAUUUGUGAAGAUAGAUUACUUUAAUAUCAAAAAAUAAAUUUUAAACCUUAUUUCUAUAAAUUACGUAUUUAAUAUAUUCUAAAUUAAUCUUAUGAUUGGUUGGAACACUUUCCCACCCACAGUACAUCUUAAAUAUUUAUGUAUGUAUAAUUUUUCAAAACUUUUAUACAGUAAAAUUUUGCAUGUUCUAAGUUAGGACCAGUUUCUCUUAUAUAUACAAGGCUACACCUUCAUAGCAAAGAUACGAACUUCAUAUACUUCCUUCUGUGUGUGACAUUGCAGGUACUAAAUAUGGAGUCUACUGAGGAAGGAAGCC